AAAGUUCUGUGACACUCGGACU
rnacentral:miRNA from 1 species